AAAUUAAAUUGACGGGGUGGGGAAAAACAAAACCUAGAAAGACAAAUCAAGUGUUCAUAUUAUAGUUGUUUCACUAGCAUCCACAGUAUCGAACUUACAAUAAAAAUACAAACGUUUGUUAGAGAAGAGACACCCUCAAGCACUAAACUUCAUAAAAACUAUAAAGCUCUUACUUAUACAAUAUUGGGGAUAUUCACAGAAAGCCCAGUUUCAUCAUUAUAGCCAUGUUCACCAACGAAGGUGAAGGAGCAUAGCUAAUGGAAUCAUAGACUGAGAAAGUGCCUCGAAUUCACCCUGUCAACCCCCCAAAAGCACUUGCAGAAAAGAACAAAACAAGUGCGGGGGGGGGGGUGGUGUUCCCCCCUCUGCUAGUACGGUACCAUUAAAUGAAUCCUUUAUUGCCAUGCUUUACAAACUAGGAUUAACUGUGGCAUUACGAAGUAGUCAAGUUUCAAAGUGAGAAGUACCAGACCACAAAAUACACACUAUUAAUAUAGCAAGAGUAAUGCAUUCUACAUCCAAUUCCAAACGGCCAAUUAUGCCACUAAACAAUGAAAAAAGCAUCACCACUCCCCACCUCAGAUUUCAGCUUGCAAGACAGCAGCAGGCAGGAAACUUUCACUGCACUGCGCACGUUGCAGAAAGCAAGUAACGGGGAUAGAAACUCCCGAGCAGCACAUAAAAAACCGCACAGGCAUUUUCAGGCUCCAUCCCAGAUCUGCUCCGGCACAUUAUACACCGAGCAGAGAGUCACCUCCUCGGAAAGCCUGACGGAGAAACGCCCGACGGAACGGGCCACUCCGUCCCCGCAGCCCCCCGCACCGCUCGCCGCGGCGGAACCGCCCGCGCGGGCACGACGGACGGCUCCCAACAUGGCGGCCGCCGAACAAAAGGGCUGGGGGAGAGGGAAGGGCGCCCCCCGCAGGAGGCAGGCGCCUCCCUGCCGCAUGGAGCUGGCGGCUCCGGGCACUCCGAGCCGCCUCCCCUUCCCCCACCAGGCGCCGCCCGUUUCCCGGCCAAAGCGCCGCCAGGAGCCCGACCGGCUCUUUGUUCUCCGCGAGGGAGGUGACCGGGCUCCGCUUCUCCACCGCCGGCGGAAAACGGCGCCCGCCACUCGCGGCACCUGCUCCGGUCCGCCCGGAAAAGGAAGAGGGGGCAGCAGCCGGUAUCGACCCCCACAUCACCACCCCCGCUCAAGCAGCGCCUUCACGCUACUCGCCGCCUGAGUCUGAAAAGGAAAUAUGGGCGAGGCUGCUGCCGGCAGACACGGCUUCUCAGUAGUCUGCUUCCCCCGCAACGAGAAACACAAACGCGAGUA
rnacentral:lncRNA from 1 species